GUUCCUGAGUCCUCGUGUCACCUGUCCCUUGUUUCACCCUCAUUACCUUGUGUAUUUAGUCUCUGUGUUGUCUUUGUCUGUUGUCAGAUCAUUGUGUUAAUGUGUGUAGUCUACCCCCUUUGUCUCUGUGGUCCUGUUUUUGUAUUCCUGG